rnacentral:misc_RNA from 1 species
GAUGAAGAACGUAGCGAAAUGCGAUAAGUAAUGUGAAUUGCAGAAUUCAGUGAAUCAUCGAAUCUUUGAACGCACAUUGCGCCCCCUGGUAUUCCGGGGGGCAUGCCUGUCCGAGCGUCAUUACAACCCUCAAGCUCAGCUUGGUGUUGGGCCCCGCCGCCCCGGCGGGCCCUAAAGUCAGUGGCGGUGCCGUCCGGCUCCGAGCGUAGUAAUUCUUCUCGCUCUGAAGGUCCGGUCGUGUGCUCGCCAGCAACCCCCAAUUUUUUUCAGGUUGACCUCGGAUCAGGUAGGGAUACCCGCUGAACUUAAGCAUAUCAAUAAGCGGAGGA